GGAGGGAAGGGGAUAACAGUCUUAGCCUUGGCUCCAUAUCGGCGCUAGCCUUUACCCUCAACUCACUGUUAUAUUUUACUGCUCACCAAGGAAAGCCCGUCUUCCACAUGCCACUCCGUGUGUGUGUGUGUGUGUGUGUGUGUGUGUGUGUGUGUGUGUGUGUGUGUGUGUGUGUGUGUGUGUGUGGAAAUAGAGUAUGCAGAUUUGAAUAAUCAGACAAGUCAGUCAAUGCACAGUGGUCAUUCUGUAGUCCCUAGCAUGUUUGUGCAUCUCUGUGUGUGUGUGCCACCGUGCCUAACAUAAAGGGACGUAGAUUUAAAAGGAAAUUAAAUGUGUUUUGUUUUUUGUUUUUUUGCAGGUGGAGGGGGUUGUGGGAGUUUGCCUUUGUCUGCAUGUGUGUGUGUCAGGUUCCGUUAUUGGUUCGUCCAAUCCAAAGGCCUGGUGUAUGUACCAAUGACUUAUAUGACAGGGUUGGGGACCGCUGUGUUGAGGCCACUGUGUCUAUCUCUUGGUGCUGCCUCACCGUUGUAAUAUAUAUAUAUAUAUAUAUAUAAUACUAUAUAAAUGCAUGUAUUAAGGUCUACACUGGUUUAUUCUAUUACAGAUUAACAUAAACAUGUAAAAAAAAAAAAAACUACACUGAUAAAUGAAACAUUAGGAACAGCUUCCUGAUAUGGAGUUGCAGUCGUCCGUCCGUCCUCAGAACAGCCUCAGUUCGUUGUGUCAGGGACUCUACAAGGUGUGGAAAGCGUUCCACAGGGAUGCUGGCCCAUGUUUUACUCCAAUGCUUUCCAUAGUUGUGUCAAAUUGGCUGGAUGUCCUUCGGUUGAUGAUUCUUGAUUCACACAGAAAAACUGUUGAGUGUGGGGGGAAUCCAGCAGCAUUGCAGUUCUUGACACAAACAUGGCAAACACCCUGUUCAAAGGCACUUUAAAUAUUGUCUUGCCCUCUGAAUGGCACACACUCACAAUGCCUCAAGGCAUAAAAAUCCUCUCCUCUUCAUCAGCACUGAUUUGAAGUGAACUUAACAAGCGACAUCAAUAAGGGAUCAUAGUUUUCAACCUGGAUUCAGUCUGUUAUGGAAAGAGCAGGUGUUUGGUUUGUUUACUCUGCGUACAUCAAAACAUGUUAUGUUACUCUCCCCACUACAACAACAGAAACAUACUUAUACACAUGUCAUUUCCUUCCUAGAAACAUCCAAUUGAAAUUCUGUAGAAUUCUAUUAAUUCCUAUGGAGGACUGCUCCGCCUGGGGAGUUCCAAAAUGGCCGACCGGCGGCUUCAUAGCGAUCUGGCAAUCCAGGGUUUAUAUAAGUCGUUGGUAUAGGUACCCAGACAUGUUUUCUAUGUUAAACUGUAUUGAUUAGUGUCUCUGAGACAGACGCACUGUUACAGCCUUGUGUUAUUAAAAGCCACUAAUGAUGAUUCUAUGUUACUAAUAAAAGAUGUAUUACAUUUACCAACCAAUACUUAAAUAAAACUGAAGCCGUUUUAAUGUUUUGUUUAUUUGAGUUCUAGCUGAACUAAUACAGGGCAUUCGGCAGGUGUUCAGACGCAUUGACUUUCCC
ensembl:lncRNA